CACCUUGUAUCACGAGGAACAGAUAGGAUGAAGUUGAUGCGAAUCUGACAGUGCAACCGACUAGCAAAGAGAUCAUUGCUGAAAACAGGUCGUUGUUGUGAUGAGCGAAGUAAUAGAAGCGGCAAAAUAGUAAAGGCAGCAUCGAACAAAUGAAGUAUAUAUACAUAUAUAAAUAUGAGUAUAUAUUCAUAAGAAUACUUUAUUUAUAAUAUCCAUGUAAUUUCAGAGUGUAAAAUAAAUGCAAAUUGCAGAACGCGCGUUACCGCGAAAAUAUGUUGCAAUGUCAUUUAUUAUACAUUAGGUAAUCGCGCGUGAGUCGCGUAAGGUAAAACAAGAACGUAAUUAAAAUUAUGUUUUUUUUUAUGACGUACUUAAGAACGGUGUAACGUAAAUAUUUGCAAUUUAUUACGCAGAUAUUAAUCCAUCACAAACGUAUAAUGUUGUCUAAUGAAUUCAUUAUUCAAAAGAAAUUAAUAAUUUAACUGAACAUUGUAGGUUUAAGUAAACAUUAUUGUUACGCGUGAAAAAUUAUUGUAACGAUUAUAAUAAUGCAACAUCCUAUGUUUAUACAUCUAGAUUUUUACGCGAAAUAUUAGCGUAAGAAUGAAGAUUAUAUAUGUAUACGGUGAAGGCGAUUAUUUAAUACGUAGAAUGUAUUGAAUUGUAUACUGUGACUUACACACUUGUAAGAUUAUUGCUCAAGCGUAAGAAUAAUUCUUGGAUGUUACAUUGAUAAAACAUGUAAAUUUUACUUUUUUAUACGGGCAAGUAAGCGUUUAGUGAUGCGCGUGGCGAUAAUUCAGACUGCGCUGUAUCAAUUAUCAAUUAAGAAAAGAACAUUUGAAAUUGUUAUAUUUUUGCAAUAUUUCUGUUAUAAUUUUUAUCGAUAAUAUUAUAGAUGAUUGCAGAAGAACGGAAGUAUAUCACGGCAAAAAGAGAGAUUGUUAUAAAUAUGUAUCUACUUUGUAUAUAUACAUAAUAUAUUUCAGUAUAUACAUGAUUAUAAUUUGAGCGAUGUGUAUAUGUAUCAGUAUCAAUUGCUUGUAUCAAUUUUCUUGUUUAUCACGCAAUUUAUGUCAGUUAUCGUUCAACGUUUCUCAUGUUAUUAUUAGAGUAGGGUAGUACAUACAACGCAGAUCUUUACUGAAGAGAAAUAAAACUUAUACAAAAUAAAUGAA